CAAAGCAUGCUGUGCUUAGAUCGGGUUCUUUGACAUUUGUUUGUUUUUUUCCGUAAUUUUUUUCCAUGCGAUGCAAACCGCCGGUAUCCGGGAUUGCCAGGCUUAGUCAAACGAGGUAAAGUAACGUUUAUUCAUUUGUUUUCCGGAGGAAAGUGAUUGUAGUGCUUCGAAUGGAAUCAUUUGAAGGAUGCUUACCACGGAAGCCGCUAUUAUGCCGUAGCAUUUGCACCGGAGACAUCGUUACUAGUACGGAUCCUGUCCCAGGGAAAAACAGAAUGAAAUGAAUCUUAGUUAGUACCUGAGGAAGCGGACGAUGAGCGAUCACUGUUAUAGGAGAAAAGUUCUUCAAAUGUGAAUUUCGUGGAAAAAAAUUGGCGAAAAUCCAAAAACUCAUUCUACACGUGCGGACUCACACAGGUGAACGCCCUUUAUGCUUGUCCCCACUGUCCGAAAAUAUUCACUCAAUCGGUAACGCUUAAGAUUCACACCAGGGUGCAUACCCGGGAAACUCCAUAAUUGUGCGAAUACUGCGACCGAGGGUUCACUCAAUCCUACAAUUUGACGGUGCACCUACGAAUCCAACACAAACAUAUAACGGUAUACCGAGGACGUGCCGGCGUGCUGCCCGCGUACAAUUGUCGGCGAAAAGUUUCCGGCUGCCACCGGGAAACUUCAAUUGUCGCAAUCGUGGUAAAAAGUAUACCUUUGUGCACAAAUGCAAGGCUUCUAAGGCCGAAGUGAAGGAAAAGAUGUACUCGUGUAAAAUCUGCAGCCAAACCUUCAAGCAUCAGCAGAACGUCGGGUACCACUUGAGCAACAAACACAAACGGUUCGACAAAAAUUUGAGAGAUCUGGAGACGGACGAAGAAGAGACAAAAAUUUGAGAGAUCCCAAUGUAUAAGUUUCGACUGCAGUUGUUCGGAGUUCGGAAUGCGCUCCAGAACUUAACUGGAGCCGACAUAUAGGGAGAUGGCUGAUUAUCCGGCAAAAUCUACUGCAACUGCUUCUGUAGCUUUGCAUUGCAUUUAAAGGCUUAUUCUCCUAUGUUUAAUUUCCCGAUUAAAAAAACAAAAAUUAGCCACUACCAAUCCGUAUAAAUGUGUACCGUAUGCCAACCAUAUUAUCAAGCUAAUUCAGGUUUAAAGCUAUUUUUAAUAUGGUGCAAUCAACAAUAGAAUAACAAUUGCCUGGUAUGAUAUCGAGCAAAACCAUCAUCGUUUUUCAUACGCGACCAUACAAUCAGGCCCCUGCUAGGCAGUCAUUUUGUUAAAAUCAGAAUAACCCAAUGCUAUUGCACAUGGGCCUAGAAGGGGCUAGGCCCAUCAUAUGUUGGCUACUGUCAAAGUCUAUAUAUCUCCAUAGCGGAUGACAGGAGCGACACACUCUGAUUGUAAUCAAUCUACUAACUAAUUUACCACCAAUGGCCAGUAAAUCCUUAAGAGCCGUGGCAGUUUUCCUCGUAAUCUAUGGUCCAAUAGAAAAAUUUUGCUUAUUGCAUUACAGGAGACUUUGAUUGCAGACAUACCUCGGGUGAACUGCACCCAGUAGAGUAGAUAAAUUUGGGCAUCGAACAUCCACCAUUCAGAAAGUGGACCAAAACUAACGGAACUUGCGACAUGUCGAGGUAUUGGAGAGCCCAAAAGUAGGGGAAAUGGUUGCAUCUUCCGCUUUCAAACGCAACAGUGCAAAUCGCUGAGUAAACAUUUAGUGCAGCAUCGCUUACAAUGUGAACGUAGUUUUUAUGAGUUGUGAAAAUAUUAUGCUCGAUCAAGCAGCGCAAGUUUUGUGGGAAUCUGAAACAGACUUUUACCGAAACUCAGAACCUUCAUAGGGAAGUUUGCGGAGCACUGCCCACUCGAAAUUUUGGAAUUAAGCUCAAAUCUUUCAAAUCUGCCGCGUAUUUGUCUAGCGCAUGCAAUGUGCGCCAUGUGCAAUGAUUUUAUUUGAAUAAACUAAUCGCUAUCAAUCUUCUGUGAUUGUAAUAUUUACAAUCGUGUGUAUUGCGAAAAUGUGGGAAAUCAUUAGUAUUAGAUCCCUGCCAAAAUAGUAUGUUUAUUUUAGGGGUGGGCGUAGCGUAUUGGUAAAUCGAUUGCCUUGUACGCAGCGCACCUGGGUUCGAGUCCCGACCCCGCACAUAGGGUUAGAAAUUUUUCAUAAGAGAUUUUUCUAACCCGAAGAGGCGAAUGACCUUAAGGUUAAAACCUCUAUAAUCGAAAUAAAAAUUAAAGGGUUGUGUACAGGACACGACCACGGUGACAUUAAAAAUGUAGCUUUUUUUUCAAGAGCGUGCAAAUGAAUUUUAUCUAUCACACAUAUCGACUCACGUUCUUGCUCACUCGCCUGUUUUCAUAUGUUUCAAUUUGCUAUAUACCCUCCCCAUUAAAACAUAAUUUAUUGAAGGUUUUAACGGUAAUCUAUUAAUCAAUCAACUAUCUCACUAGGUGAUUGGCAUUAUUUGGCUGAUCCAUCUAGAAAAAAUAGGCUGGUCUGUCCAGAAAAUAUAUUCAAAAGAAAAGUUCCAUAUUGAGAACACGUCGCUGUUGUACUAUCUUAUGACAAACGCCAUUUUGGGGUAAACUGAGUUAGAUAUGCCACAUCACUUGGCUAAAAAAUCUCUACAAAGUGGCGUUUUCAGAAUUUUGACAUUCUGCUUGCUUACUGAGAUAUAGCGAGAAACGUGCUGAGAAAUUUUUAAUUUUUUACUUCAAUUAACUGUGUAUGGGGAUUGGCUCAAGAUAUCUUGAUGUAUAAGAUGUUUUUAUGUUUAAAACUAUCCGAGAUACAGAAUGGUAUAAUAAUUUUCAAAAUAAAAAUACACGCAUUGUGUGAAAAAAGCAGUUUAAGUUUUAAAUUGGAAAUAUAGCAUGUUUGGCAACACUGUAACCAAAAAUAACUAUUUUUUCUAGAUUCCCUGACUCAUUUCCUUCAAGAUGCAUCUAACAGAUUGUUUAUAGACCAAAUGAAGCCAAAGAUAUGAAUAAAAGUUCAUAAUUGGUGAUUUUUUUCCAUGAAAAAUUUUCCAUGCGCGAUUAUGACACGUCAUACAAAUUUUGCCAUCAAUGCACACCUAUGACACGUGUGAGUGCGACUUUUGUUUACAUUUAUAGUAAAAACUCACAACAUAGUCAACCGAUCUUCGUAAUAUUUGAGAGAUUAAUACAGAAUAGAAAGAAGCUUCAAUUGUAUUCUUUGAAUUGUUUAUACCAUUUAUAAGUUUCAAGCUAUUCAAUCUCAAACUUUAAAAAUCGUUUUUCUCGGAAUAUGCUAAAUGGCGCUUGUCAUAAGAUAGCACAACAGCGACGAACUGUGAUGAGGAAGCCCACGCUCGCCAACGGAAAUACACAGAUUCUCCAUGAAAUAUGAAAUUUCAUUUUCCAUUUAAAUUUUCAAUAAUGUACUAAUGGACUUAAGUAAACAAUCUUAAGUGUAAGUAUUUCUUGAUCGAUCAGUGGUGGAAAAAUUGAAAUUAUUUGAUAAAUUGCAUUGUUAUGCAACGUUCGCACUACCAGUUAAAACGGGUUUUUAUGCUAUCUUGGUGACAUUUUUCUUGUUGCUAAUUAUUAAAACGUGUUAUAACUCUGUAGUGUAAACAUUGUAUUAUUAAACCAAUUCUGCCUUUUUUCUA